rnacentral:rRNA from 1 species
UACGUAGGGGGCAAGCGUUGUCCGGAAUUAUUGGGCGUAAAGAGCUCGUAGGCGGUCUGUCGCGUCUGCUGUGAAAACUCGGGGCUUAACCCCGGGCCUGCAGUGGGUACGGGCAGACUAGAGUGCGGUAGGGGGAGACUGGAAUUCCUGGUGUAGCGGUGAAAUGCGCAGAUAUCAGGAGGAACACCGUGGCGAAGGCGGGUCGCUGGGCCGUAACUGACGCUGAGGAGCGAAAGCGUGGGGAGCGAACAGG